ACAUGGGACUGCUGACACUGCUGCAGGAUUUGCUUUGCAGGCACAAGUACAUACAGAUGGAAUUGCUCUCGCUCCUGCCUUUUGCCACAACCAGAAGAAUUAGUGGGAAAAUCUGAGAUGAAACAGCUUCUGCUAACAUACCUGGUUGAACAUUGUGUGCCUUGCCCUCUUUUACUUCAGCAGUGUCAUUCAGAAGCAAGCACAGUGGAAUCAGUGGAUGAUGUUCAGACAAAGCUGAUGUGAGAAGAGAUUGAGACUCUCUGUCUGAGGUGAGACAGAUAAAUUGCGAGAGAGUAACGGAGAAAUGCAUGAGAUGCAUGAGUAUCUAAAAUCUGAGCUUUUCAAACAUGCUGGCUAAAACAGUGAAGAAGGUAUGAAGCUUCAUUUGCUGCCAACAUUUAUAGCUCAGUACUUGCUUUGUUUUCGCUCAGUGAAAUACAAGGCAGAAUUAACUUUGUAACAGAACAUAGGCAAAAAUCUGGAUAAUGGUGUUAUUGGGAAAGAAUAAAAAUAAAAUAAAGAUAUUAAGGAGGUGUGAUUUUUCAACACCUCUGAAUAUUACGCACUGUUUUAGAAAAAACUUAAAGCCAUGUUUAACUUUGUCAUUCCAGGUAGUAACAAAAUAAGCUCUCCUUCCCUUCAAUAGGAACUAAUAAUGUGUAGUUCACUAAAUGAGGAUUUGAUUUAAUUGCGCAAUACCACAGAUACACACACAAACCAGCUGUGGAAAUGCUGGGAACAGCCACCUCAUGGUCCCUCCUCUGCCCUUAGCCCUCCUUGGUAUUACUCUCUUCUUCUCAUUCAAGAGCAAUUUAAUUCCUUCUUGUGAGUCUCUUUGGAUUUGCAAGCACAAAGAGAUUGUCCCUCUUUAUGCUUGUGUGUUUAACCCUUUUGAACACGUCUCUUUCUUUCAGAUCUCUUCUUCCCACUUCUUUCUUUGUGUUCCUCCAGAGAGGAAAAUGAG